rnacentral:rRNA from 1 species
CCUACGGGAGGCUGCAGUGAGGAAUAUUGGUCAAUGGGCGGGAGCCUGAACCAGCCAAGCCGCGUGAGGGAAGAAGGUACAGCGUAUCGUAAACCUCUGUUGUCAGGGAACAAAGGCGGGGACGAGUCCCCGGAUGAGGGUACCUGAAGAAAAAGCAUCGGCUAACUCCGUGCCAGCAGCCGCGGUAAUACGGAGGAUGCGAGCGUUAUCCGGAUUUAUUGGGUUGAAAGGGAGCGUAGGUGGAUUGUUAAGUCCGUGGUGAAAGUUUGCGGCUCCACCGUAAAAUUGCAGUUGCAACUGGCAGUCUUUAGUACAGUAUCGGUGGGCGUAAUUCGUGGUGUAGCGG